GGGAGUUGGAUAGGGCGUUACUUCACUAUUCAAGAUAUUCACAGACAUAGGUUCGAAUCUCCAAAAAGGACUAAAUUGUGAAGUCCAUUACAUCAAAGAUUAUAUAUAAUCUGAAUCUGAUACGAGCAUACAAUAAGCUCCUUGUUAGAUACGUUAUAUGAGUCUUUCAAGUGACUGCUUACGCGAAUAGCUAUUGUGUGAGGUACGUGUUUUUUUUUCCUUUUGUUAAAUAAUACUCGAAAUAAUAUAUUUACAUCUUAAUUAUUUUUGCUCGCUUCGCAUGUGAUGAGAGGCCUCGGGUUCAAUCCCCGAUAUCUCCAUGAAACCUUUUUUCUUUUUUUUUAUAUUUGAUUUAAGGAAACAGAUUUUUUAAAAUUUGUGUACCGAUACACUGUAAUCAGAAUAAAUAUUACGUUAAACAAUA